rnacentral:rRNA from 1 species
GUGGAUUAGAUACCCCGGUAGUCCACGCUGUAAACGUUGGGCGCUAGGUGUGGGUGACUGUUCACGUUGUCCGUGCCGUAGCUAACGCAUUAAGCGCCCCGCCUGGGGAGUACGGCCGCAAGGCUAAAACUCAAAGGAAUUGACGGGGGCCCGCACAAGCGGCGGAGCAUGUGGAUUAAUUCGAUGCAACGCGAAGAACCUUACCUGGGUUUGACAUGCACAGGAUCCCGGCAGAGAUGUCGGUUCCCUUGUGGCCUGUGUGCAGGUGGUGCACGGCCGUCGUCAGCU